rnacentral:rRNA from 1 species
AGAGCGAACGCUGGCGGCAGGCUUAACACAUGCAAGUCGAGCGCCCCGCAAGGGGAGCGGCAGACGGGAGAGUAACACGUGGGAACGUACCUUUCGGUUCGGAACAACCCGGGGAAACUUGGGCUAAUACCGGAUACGUCCGUAAGGAGAAAGAUUUAUCGCCGAAAGAUCGGCCCGCGUCUGAUUAGCUAGUUGGUGAGGUAACGGCUCACCAAGGCGACGAUCAGUAGCUGGUCUGAGAGGAUGAUCAGCCUCACUGGGACUGAGACACGGCCCAGACUCCUACGGGAGGCAGCAGUGGGGAAUAUUGGACAAUGGGCGCAAGCCUGAUCCAGCCAUGCCGCGUGGGUGAUGAAGGCCCUAGGGUUGUAAAGCCCUUUCGGCGGGAAGAUAAUGACGGUACCCGCAGAAGAAGCCCCGGCUAACUUCGUGCCAGCAGCCGC